ensembl:misc_RNA 7SK 7SK RNA
GGAUGUGAGGGCGAUCUGGCUGCGACAUCUGUCACCCCAUUGAUUGCCAGGGUUGAUUCGGCUGAUCUGGCUGGCUAGGCGGGUGUCCCCUUCUUCCCUCACCGCUCCAUGUGCGUCCCUCCUAAAGCUGCUCGCUCGGUCAAAGAGGACGGCCUUCCCCGAAAUAGAAACGGACCAGUCUUCAGUUGAGGGUAUACGAAUAGCUGCGCUCCCCUGCUAGAACCUCCAAACCAGCUCUCAAGCCCCCAGUCCCCGCCUGCAGUAAGAAAGCUUCAUGAGUGGUGAAGCAAGACUGCAGGUGUCCCUCUGUCUCCCUU